rnacentral:rRNA from 1 species
UUGAUGGUUCAGUGAGGCUUUCGGACUGGCCCAGGGAGGUCGGCAACGACCACCCAGGGCCGGAAAGUUAUCCAAACUCGAUCAUUUAGAGGAAGUAAAAGUCGUAACAAGGUCUCCGUUGGUGAACCAGCGGAGGGAUCAUU